rnacentral:lncRNA from 1 species
UGGGGCCUCAGGGCUGUCUGAGUGGCUCUGGCUGUCCGAGUGGCUCUGUCCUGUCUGAAUCUUGUCACCGACAGCCCAGAGCAGGCUCUCAGGCCUAAUCCUCCCACAGCCCCUCCCUGCAGGCUCUGGUGAAUAUUGGGGGCGUGUCUCACCAGCUGUUCCCCGUAGGGCACAGUGGUUGUCAGGACAGCACCGGCCACAGGGAAAGGGCCACGCGCAGCCGCAUGUCCCUCCCUCCACACAGUGUGCAGAACCAGAGAACGCCUUCUGAGAAAAACAGACACCAUGGGGAAUUGACCUGUCCUCCAUCACGGUGGGAGAGCGAAGAGCCCGGAGCCUGGAGCCCGGCCUGCCGCUCCGUGUUCCUUCAGCCACGUCCUCUGGAAAG